UGGGGAAUCUUGGGCAAUGGGCGAAAGCCUGACCCAGCCACGCCGCGUGGAGGAUGAAGCCCUUCGGGGUGUAAACUCCUUUUCUGGGGGAAGAAAUCCCGGCUAUGGUCGGGACUGACGGUACCCCAGGAAUAAGCGCCGGCUAACUCCGUGCCAGCAGCCGCGGUAAUACGGAGGGCGCAAGCGUUGCCCGGAAUCACUGGGUGUAAAGGGUGCGUAGGCGGGGCUGUAAGUCAGAGGUGAAAGCCUCCGGCUCAACCGGAGAAUUGCCUCUGAUACUGCAGCUCUUGAGUCCCGGAGAGGCCGCUGGAAUUCCUGGUGUAGCGGUGAAAUGCGUAGAUAUCAGGAGGAACACCGGAGGCGAAGGCGGGCGGCUGGACGGGAACUGACGCUGAGGCACGAAAGCGUGGGGAGCAAACAGG
rnacentral:rRNA from 1 species